AAUGAAGCGACUGCAAGUGUUCACACAGAUUGUUUGGUAGAUUGUGUCAAUGAAGAGACAAAAAACCGAAAUCCUUUUGGGUCUGUAGCUCAGGUGGUUAGAGCGCACCCCUGAUAAGGGUGAGGUCGGUGGUUCAAGUCCACUCAGACCCACCACUCAAGCGAAAGCAAAAGAGUGAAGCGAAAAGGGAUGACGGCGCAUUGUAAUGAUGUGAAUGGGGAUAUAGCUCAGCUGGGAGAGCGCCUGCCUUGCACGCAGGAGGUCAGCGGUUCGAUCCCGCUUAUCUCCACCAAAUCAUCAUUGCUAAGUGUUUUGUGUAAAUGGCAUUAGUCUGGAUAGAUUAAUGGUUCUUACAUUAAGAAUAUUUAGCAAUGAUGAGCGAAAAAUGGCGAAGCCAUUUUGACUUGUCUUUACUGUUCUUUAAAAAAUUGGAAACAAGCUGAAAAACUGAAGAGAUUUUCGAAAGAAAGUCUGAGUAGAAAAAUCUUGCAUGAAAAAAGGCAUGCAAGUGUUUAGCGUUUAAACACAACAUCAAGGUGAUGAAGCUUGAUUAAUACCUUAGCAAAGGUUAAUGGAUUAAUUGAGAUUAAGUAAGAAUACUUGAGGUU
rnacentral:tRNA from 1 species